CAGGACUUGACAUCCCUCGCUAUUGUCUGAAAGGAUGAGUUCCCUUCGGGGACGAGGAGACAGGUGGUGCACGGUUGUCGUCAGCUCGUGUCGUGAGAUGUUGGGUUAAGUCCCGCAACGAGCGCAACCCUUGUCCUUAGUUGCCAGCGUAAAGUCGGGCACUCUAGGGAGACUGCCGGUGAUAAACCGGAGGAAGGUGGGGAUGACGUCAAAUCAUCAUGCCCCUUAUGUCCUGGGCUACACACGUGCUACAAUGGGCUGAACAGAGGGAAGCGAGACCGCGAGGUGGAGCCAAUCCCAUAAAACAGCUCUCAGUUCAGAUCGUAGGCUGCAACUCGCCUACGUGAAGAUGGAGUUGCUAGUAAUCGCGGAUCAGCAUGCCGCGGUGAAUGCGUUCC
rnacentral:rRNA from 1 species